CCUACGGGAGGCAGCAGUGAGGAAUAUUGGUCAAUGGGCGCGAGCCUGAACCAGCCAAGUCGCGUGAGGGAAGACGGCUCUAUGGAUUGUAAACCUCUUUUGUCGGGGAGCAAAAGACGCCACGCGUGGCGGUCCGAGAGUACCCGAAGAAAAAGCAUCGGCUAACUCGGUGCCAGCAGCCGCGGUAAUACGGGGGAUGCGAGCGUUAUCCGGAUUUAUUGGGGUGAAAGGGUGAGAAGGGGGAAGAGCAAGUCAGCGGUAAAAUUGAGAGGCUCAACCUCUUCGAGCCGGUGAAACUGGUGUUCUUGAGUGAGCGAGAAGUAUGCGGAAUGCGUGGUGUAGCGGUGAAAUGCAUAGAUAGCACGCAGAACUCCGAUUGCGAAGGCAGCAUACCGGCGCUCAACUGACGCUGAUGCACGAAAGUGUGGGUAUCGAACAGGAUUAGAUACCCCAGUAGUC
rnacentral:rRNA from 1 species